CCCCUGGUGGCCGCGGCAGGUAGCGCUUCUCCGGUAUUAUCAGCUGCAGUUAAAUGUCCGGUGCUCAUCCUCUAAAACUCCGGUGGAAAACAAGUGAGUGAGCAAAACAAUGUCGAGAAUAGAAAGAGGGGAAACAGAAAAACUAUAAAGAAUGUGAAACUUCUCCAGAGCUGUUAAAAUGAUUUGAAGGCUCAGAAUCAGCCCGGUACCGGUCCACGUUCUCAGCAAUGCACUGAUUGCAGUUUUCUGACCGAUCGCCGAUCUUUAAUAAGCCUGCGGCUUGCAGACAUGACCUGGUGGGGCGGUCUGCCUCUCUCACUGCAGAGCAGAGGAGGACACAGGAUGAUUUUUAACUCUUUGCUGCAGUAGAUAAAUCGGCUUCACAUGUAAGUAUCAACCGAUCUCCCAAAAUUCAAGAAAUCGGCGCCGAUACGGAGGACAUAAAGGGGAUACAUCCCCACGUUUAGACCGGUGUAAUCUCCUUUUCAACGCAGCAUCACACUGUGUGACAGCAGCUUCACAUCCAGUCAGUGAACAUACACAGAUUUUAAGAAGACAAACUUUAAUAGAGUAAAUUCUUUAAUCCUUAAAACCUCAGAAAGUUCAAAAAGAUUUGCUAGAGACUAGAUUUUAUUCUGAAGAUUAUCCUUUUGGCUUUUUUCUUUUUUUCUUUGUUCUGUUUAAACUCCAAGAAUGAGUGAGAUGAGUAAACAGAACCUUCUCCCAGCGCCAGAGUCCUGAGCUCUGCUGGCUCCCCGGUCGGUUACCGUCCUGGUUGCAGCUGACGCUCGCCACCCGGCUGACAUUAGCUGUGUUUAGCUUCGCCGCGCUGCCCACUCUUUUAACUCUAUAUCUGCGCGUUGGCCGCGGCACAAAGAGCGCGGCAGCGUGCCGAGAAAGUGUCCUGUAAGCUGGGAUGCAACAGAGCGCGGCAGCCGGCCAAGAGUUGGCCAAGAAAAGCAAAACGCACAGGAGGGAUUUAGUCAAGUGCUCAUUUAAAUAUGAGUGAGCAACAGACUGUGGAAUUUGAAUAAGAUUAUAAAAGGAAGACCGAGUGGGAUGAAUUUCAGUUUUCAGAGCAUUACAUGUUUUGCCUUUCGUGUG